UUCUGGGGAGGGUGGUCCAUCCUUAAAUGAGCUGCUAAGUGUGGGCUAGCCAGCUGUAUCCCAUUAGCUGUCUCAGCUGCAGGAGAUGUGAGGAGCAUGUAAAUCAGAUGCGGAGAGCUUGUUUUUGUCAUGGACUUCGUACGGAAGAGAAGGCUGAGAGAAGUUGUGGCAAAAUGCAGGUAGACUGGAAGCUGUGUGGACCAGGGGCCACAACUUUCUUUGAAGCAUCCUGCUAGAUGUCAUAUGAUUACAUAAAGAUUUGUAAGGGACUUCAAAUCCCACCUAGUUACCAUCCCCUGUUGUGAACUGGCUGCCCCCCACCAGAUUAGGCUGCCUGGGGUUCCAUUCAACCUGGCCCUGAACACCUUCAGGGAUGGAACCUGCACAGUUUCUCUGGACAGCCUGUGCCAAUGCCUCGUUGUUCUGUGAGUAAAGAAUUUCCUCCAAACACCUAAUCUAAAUCUCCCCUCUUUUGGUGUAAAUUUGACUUCUCUUUUGUGCUAUUUGACUUAUUUAUUUUUUCUAUUAUACUUUGUUUUCUUUUAAAUGUAAUGUAAAUUUAUCUGCAUUACAGAAUACUCCUUAUAAGUAAUGCAUUUAUUCAAUGCAAAAUAUUGAAUCCUGCUCUUGGCUUUUCCAUAGCUGUGAUAAACAAAACUGCUUAUGUCAGUGCAAGUUUCAUACAAGUAUUGGUAGGAUGAAGGUCUGACUAAAAACAAAAAGUGCCUUUUCUUGAACUCCAUCUAUUUUCUUUACAUGCUGUAGAGUAUAGUGUCCAGGAAGACAUGAAGAAAGCAAUGUUAAAAUUAACUGUUCCUUAAAUUACUGUAGUAAGUCCCACUUAUGCCAGCUUUGUGUUUGAGUGGAGAGAAAAAGGAAAAGUAGUUCAAAGACUAACACUUCUUUUGUGCAUGUUUGCCUCUUGUUUAGAUGUUAGAAAAAUAACAUUGGAGAGGCCUUUAUGAAAACUGUGGUUUUGGGAGGAAGAGGUAGAUACUGUGCUUUCAGUUUUUCAUAUUGAACAUCUAUCUUGCGCUCAGGGGAAGACGAACAUCUUAACACCAUUCUGCAUUAGAUAUUCUUUUGAAAGUAGGCUAUAUCCUGGAAGACUGAGAUUUACUAAGGAAAUCCAAACAUCUUGAAGUGGUACAGCUUGGGAGUACUGAAAUGUGGUUGUUAUGAACCAGCACAGUAAAUUGAGGUCAAUGCAAAAACACAAUCCUGUGUAGAUAUCAC
rnacentral:lncRNA from 1 species